GAACGAUGGAUACUAGGUGUAGGAGGUAUCGACCUCUUCUGUGCCGCAGCUAACGCAAUAAGUAUCCCGCCUGGGGAGUACGGUCGCAAGGCUGACACUCAAGAGUUUGAUCCUGGCUCAGAACUAACGCUGGCGGCGUGCCUAACACAUGCAAGUCGUAACAAGGUAACCAGGUCUUGACAUCCCUACGAUUUCUAUGAAAGUAGGAAGUGCCUUUUAGGUGCAGCGUAGAGACAGGUGGUGCAUGGUUGU
rnacentral:rRNA from 1 species